UUAAGAAUUAUUUUAAGCUGGAGAAUAUUUGAUUGUUGAUCGAAAGGUAUAUUUCUUAA
rnacentral:tRNA from 1 species